rnacentral:rRNA from 1 species
UACGUAGGGGGCGAGCGUUAUCCGGAUUUACUGGGUGUAAAGGGAGCGUAGACGGCCAUGCAAGCUCGGUGUGAAAUCCCGCGGCUCAACCGCGGAACUGCAUUUGAAACUGUCAGUCUUGAGUACCGGAGAGGUCAUCGGAAUUCCUUGUGUAGCGGUGAAAUGCGUAGAUAUAAGGAAGAACACCAGUGGCGAAGGCGGAUGACUGGACGGCAACUGACGGUGAGGCGCGAAAGCGUGGGGAGCAAACAGG